AACGCAUAUUGCGCCCGCCAGCAUUCUGGCGGGCAUGCCUGUUCGAGCGUCAUUUCAACCCUCAAGCACUGCUUGGUGUUGGGGCGCUACGCGUCGAGCGUAGGCUCUGAAAAUCAGUGGCGGACCCGCCGUAGGUUCGGGUGUAGUAAUAAUCUCUCGCCUAGGAUCUACAGCGUGUUCCGGCCGUUAAAUCUCCAACUUACAGAAGGUUGACCUCGGAUCAGGUAGGAAUACCCGCUGAACUUAA
rnacentral:misc_RNA from 1 species